rnacentral:rRNA from 1 species
ACUACGGGAGGCAGCAGUGAGGAAUAUUGGUCAAUGGGCGGAAGCCUGAACCAGCCAAGUAGCGUGCAGGAUGACGGCCCUACGGGUUGUAAACUGCUUUUAUACGGGAAUAACGCGCCUUACGUGUAGGGCUUUGCAUGUACCGUAUGAAUAAGGACCGGCUAAUUCCGUGCCAGCAGCCGAGGUAAUACGGAAGGUCCGGUCGUUAUCCGGAUUUAUUGGGGUUAACGGGAGCGUAGGCCGCAUGUCAAACGUGCUGUGCAAUGUCCGGGCUCAACCCGGGCCUUGCAGCGCGAACUGGCGUGCUUGAGUCCGCGGAAAGCAGGCGGAAUUCGUCGUGUAGCGGUGAAAUGAUUAGAUAUGACGAAGAACCCCGAUUGCGAAGGCAGCUUGCUGCAGCGGAACUGACGCUGAUGCUCGAAAGCGCGGGUAUCGAACAGGAUUAGAUACCCUUGUAGUC